CGGAUUGGAGUCUGCAACCCGACUCCAUGAAGCUGGAUUCGCUAGUAAUCGCGCAUCAGCCACGGCGCGGUGAAUACGUUCCCGGGCCUUGUACACACCGCCCGUCAAGCCAUGGAAGCUGGGGGUGCCUGAAGUUCGUGACCGGAAGGAGCGACCUAGGGCAAAACCGGUGACUGGGGCUAAGUCGUAACAAGGUAGC
rnacentral:rRNA from 1 species